AUUAAAUAUUACAGAAAUAAUUACAUCAAGAUUGCCGUGCAUGGCACCAGAGUUAUUUAUAUAAUCAUAUAUAUUUUAUACAGCAUUAACUUUUAACUUUUAAGUAGAGGACAAGCAAUUAAUGACCAUUAAUUGAGGAUGUUCAAAUCAAAUGCUACGUUUAUCAUAUCUGUAAACUUAAAACUGCUCUUGAUCAUUAGAUUUUGAUUUGUCUUUUCAGAAUCUAAUGCAUUCUGGGUAAUAUUUUUAAAAGCAUACACCAAAACCCUGCGAUUGGCCAACACAAUGGAAAUUCAACCAAUGGAGUGAGGUUAUUUGCAAUGAACAGAGAAUAAACAAUGCCAUCACUUUAAUUUGUAGUGCUGAAGUUUAUAAAACAAUGAAUGCUUUAUUUUGUUGCAAAAAAAAACUGUUUUGGGGUAAUUUUCCCAAUAUUUUCCCCCAAAAUCUGCAUAUUUCGUCUUUAUAUAUCAAGACAGAUUUGUUUAUUCAAAAGAUUUACUUAAAAUUUUGAUUUUUUUUUCACAAAUUAACAGAUACAUUGCAUUCAAACAGACAUCAUAAACAUAAGCACCUUAUUUAACAUUUCUGAUACAAAAUAAUUGACCAUUUUCAAAUUACAGACUUUUGAUUCCUGAUUUUAUUAUUUUUACGACAGGCUACCUUUUCUACCGGUAGGACAUUCUGGUACUUAGUCAAGUAAGAGCCAUCAAAAGAAAUAAAACCAACAUAUAAUGGGUGCAAUUUGGUGGGAGUUUGACUGUUCCAUAGAUAAUUGUGUCAUGUAUAGAAAACAUAUAAUAAUUAAGUUUCCCCUAAAUUAUACCAAUUUUAACAUUAAUUUUACUUCUAUAAAAUGCUCUUAUAUGACCAAGUCCAAGAUAACUACAGAGAAAAGGUAACUUGUAGAAAAAAUAUAAAUUCCAAAAGUUGAAAGUCAGUAAUAUGAAAUGGUAUUUUUAUAUGCAAAUGUCUAAGUGUUACUACUAUUAUCUUUAAAAACAGAUAUUAUACCUGCUAGACAAACUAAAAAUUAUAAUGGAAGGGUAGAAAAGGAGAUUUUGGCAAGAGGCAUGGGUCAUUUAUGGUUGCAAGUCCAAAUGAUAUACAUGUUGUAAGUAAAAUUAUCUGAAGAAAUUAUGUUGAUUGAGAGGUGAUUUUUGAAGUCCUUUCCUACCAAACCACAUCUUAUCUAAUGGAAUAAUUCUAAAACUAACUACAAUAAUUCUACCAUGAUCUAAUUGUUUACCGAAUUGAUAAUACACACCUCACUACAAAUGUAAUGAUUUGAUUUUC
rnacentral:lncRNA from 1 species